AUGAAACUGAAAGGAGGAACAAACAAUAAAGCUCUAAAAUCAAUAACUGGAAUUGCACUCAUCGUGCUAACUUGUUUUCACUUGAAGAGAAGUCUACAACAACAAUUUUAAGAUUCAAGGCAAUAUAACAUCCCCAAGUGAAGACACAUCAAUUAAUAUAUAUUAGAUCAACUUCAAGUAUCAGCCAUGAAUCGGGUGGUACGACAUCAAGAUAACCUUUAUCACCAAACCUGUAGAAAGAAAAAAAGGGUGCCAUAGUUCAAUUAUGCAUGGUAGACCAAAAUUGGGAAAAGAUGUAUUCAUUAGCUGCAUAGUGCCUAUACAGAUUAGCAAGAAGAAGAAAAGAUAUCAAAGAGAGGAAGCAAGAAAUAAAGCAACAAAGAAGGAUUGACAGCAAGCGUGGAAACAGGGAGUCAGGGAGAUCACCCCCUAAGCGAUUGAGAAGUAGCAUCUAGGGAUGCUGCAAGUCUGACAAGCUCACUAAACGUUUUAUUCUUUUUCUCGUUAAAUACGUAAAAUGAAAACAAAGAAGAAAGAAAGGAAUGCUGAGUAGCAUCUCUACAAACUUUUUUAUUCUCUGUCACUGGAUAGCAGCUCCAAGGAAUGCUGAGUCUUAACAAGCUCAGAUCUAAAGCUAAUUUCUAAAUCUUGUAUCUCCUUUUUCUUGUUUUUGAUACUUUGUUUGAUCAGGUAGAAAAGAUCAUCAUAUUAAAGUGCAGUCACAUGAAAAGAUUA